AUGUUAAAUAGGGCUUUAAAAACUUGGAUAAUUUCUCAAGUUCUAAGCAGAAACAAAUGCCUGUGGUUAAAGCAGGUUAAAAUGGUAAAGAAAAAGAAGAAAUACUGCUUGUCCAAGAAUAUCACCAAGAUUAGACAAAUUAAGUCUGGAAUCUACAAACAAAAAAUAGAAUCCUUUCCAGAAGUUACAGCAAGCUCUUUAACAUAUAUAGAGGCAGGUAUCAAAGGGGAGGUAAGACUGCAUCAGUUAUAUUCAGUGUUAAUUUCAAAGCAUGAGUGUAUGAAACUUUCCUUCUGCUCAAUACAGCUGCGUUAUUUAUUUAAUUAGUAUUAAAAUACAAGCUAUCUAUAAAAAAAUUCAGUUCCUCAGCCUGUGUCUACACUUCAGGCUGCUGCCCAGUGUAAAUAUGAGCCGGCUUGCCUGCCAAGAACAGAAUGUCUGCUUCAGCCAAGAGUGGGGAUAUAAGCUCUGCUGGUAAGGAUAGGCACUUUGCAGUCUCCGGCUUGGCCUGCUUAUAACAACUUUGGACUUUACUGUAUCACACUGUUGCUGGCAGUGUUGACAUACCGUCCUCAUUUUAACAACUCUGUGGACAGCAAGAAGCCAUCAGCAGAACACACAGUGGCUCUCAAACCAGCCUCAGGGCUGUGAGCUGCUAGUGAAUAGCAGCCUCUGAGAGCAGCAUGGGUCUGAACCAGCACACAGAGCCCCUGUGAUUAAUAUUCAUGCUACACAUCCCAGAACAAAUAGGAGAUGCCAGUCUGAUUCAAAGCUCUCUGAAAUUGAUGGAAACCUCUCCAUUGACUACCAUGGGCUCUAGGUCAAGCCCCAAGUGUGUUUAUACCUUUUAAAAUAGAAGGAAUUCACUCUCCACAUGUUUCAGUCCCUCACAUUUAUUGUCAGCAAACCUCUGGCAAAAAAAAUGUCUUUCUCUGCAAUGAGACUCUCACUGAAGCCAGUAGGAGCCAUUUAUACAGAGAUGGAGGACAUAAACUCAAUGUAAAACAAAUAGCAUACUGGAAAGAAUCUUGAUUUUCAAAUCACACGAGACAAAAUUCAGUGCUAAAGUGAGUGUUUCUUUGUAAGAAGUACAAAAUAACUCAAGAUUUUUUUAUACCUGCAGGUUAAGAAGAAAAUUUUCAAUGAGGCACAUUGAACCUUCAUAAUAUAACAUUAAAAAACCCACUCCUAUAAAUCUAAUACCAUUAUAAUCAUCUUUCUUAAACACUCUAAUUAUAUCCUUCAAGUGUAAGUACUCAAAUGUUAAUUAAAUAUGGCCACCUAAAUUAUGAUAUGCAAAGGUUUUUUUUUUUUACUUAUUAAAGGAAUUUAAUACUACUCAUAGGUGUCUCUGUUAAAUGUAGAUUGACAAUCAAGUUAAAGAAUAAAAUCUCAUUUAUUUUUAUGCUACUUUAUAAA
rnacentral:lncRNA from 1 species